GGAAGUUCUAAGCUCCUACUCCACUACUGCUCUUCUUCUCCAGUUUAACACUUGUCGCAGACGAUCAUCUAAUUUGCAGCACCGUAAGUGGCUGCUUGGGAUGAGCGUAAAGGCUGCAAGAAGAGAUUCGAGUGAAAGAGAUUAUGGGGGUCGGCUUGUGGAUGAAAACAUGAUCACUCUCCGUAUGCGCAUUAGAGAGAUGAAGAUGUUGGAGACAAGCACUUCUAGUGAUGAUGAUCUUCAUCAAAUAUUGCCUUCGGAUUGGAUGGAGUGGGAGAAGAAACAUUUCUUCAACUAUAAUAAGGAUGUUUGUGAAGUUUUAGGGUUAUUGCAAAACUAUUUCUUGAAUACUAGGCCAAGUUUAGCUUUAGGAAUGCUUGCACUUGUUGCAUUGAGUGUGCCUAUAUCAACUGGAGUAGUCUUGUUUUCUGCUCUGCAGAUUGCUAAGGGGAUUUUCUUUUAAUUCUGC
rnacentral:misc_RNA from 1 species